rnacentral:rRNA from 1 species
GGCACAGUUUUUUUUUGAAAUUGUUAAGGGUAAUAGAGAAGAAAUGGGAUUUAAAAAAGGUGGCAGGGGAAUUUCGAUUGGGUUUAAAAAAGGGCUCGUUCAUUGCAGGUGUGAAGCACUUGAGUAAGAGUAGUCUAGAGUGAAUAGAGAAGUGUAGGAAUUCAAUGUCGAACAGGUAUAAAGAAUCAAAUUUGGAAAAUUCACACUGUGCAGAUGCGAAUUUAAUUGCUAUGAAUUAAACGUUUGGGUAGAAAACGGGGUGAAGGAACCAGAGUAGUCAUCGGCGAAAGCGAGCGCCUGAAAUAUGAAGAAGAAAUGUGUGAGUUACAAAAAAUCUGUGACGGCAUGAAGACAUUAAUUAGGUUUGCUUGGAGAGUAAAGGGGGAACAUUAAAAAUAAAAAAAAUAGACGGGGUAACCAGCGCAGGCUGGAGCAUAUUGUGGAUUAUGAAGGAAAACGAAUAUCAUUUCAUAGGAUCGAUAUACUAUUCAAAAUCGAGAAUGAGUGAAGUUGCUGUCGGAACAGAAUGACAAGUAGGGCAUAGGGGUGUUUAGAUUGUGUGAUGUGAAAUUAGGUUAAGUCGACACAACGAGAGCCCCAUCUUAUAUAAGGUAGCCACCAAUAAGACGAGGAAUUAAGAGGAGAAUACCAGUGACAACGGGAAGGAAGGAGGGGAUGACGUAAAAUCAUCACGGCCGUUAGUGAGGAGGGAUACACAUGUGAUACAAUGGAGUAUACAAAGAGAAGUGUCCUCGCGAGAGCAAGCGAACAUCAUAAAGGAUGUAGUAGUCCGGAUUGGAGUCUGCAACUCGACUCCAUGAAGUCGGAAUCGCUAGUAAUCGUAGAUCAGAAUGCUACGGUGAAUACGUUCCCGGGCCUUGUACACACCGCCCGUCACACCAUGGGAGUGGGUUGCAAAAGAAGUAGGUAGCUUAACCUUCGGGAGGGCGCUUACCACUUUGGAUUCAUGACUGGGGGAAGUCGAACCAAGGAUGCAUGG